rnacentral:rRNA from 1 species
GUAGGGUGCGAGCGUUAAUCGGAAUUGCUGGGCGUAAAGCGUGCGCAGGCGGUUUUGUAAGCCAGAUGUGAAAUCCCCGGGCUUAACCUGGGAAUGGCAUUUGGGACUGCAAGGCUGGAGUGCGGCAGAGGAGACUGGAAUUCCUGGUGUAGCAGUGAAAUGCGUAGAUAUCAGGAGGAAUACCGAUGGCGAAGGCAGGUCUCUGGGCUGACACUGACGCUCAUGCACGAAAGCGUGGGGAGCAAACAGGAUUAGAUACCCUGGUAGUCCACGCCCUAAACGAUGUCGACUGGUUGUUGGGGGUUUGACACUCUCAGUAACGAAGCUAACGCGUGAAGUCGACCGCCUGGGGAGUACGGCCGCAAGGUUA